rnacentral:lncRNA from 1 species
GUUUAUCAGGAAAAGGGUGAUAGAUAAGUGUUUGAUGAAAGAAUAUGCCCACUUGUAAUUGUAAAGGGUAUCACCACAUUUCCUCUGAGAAGGAAAAUUACAUUGUUAACAAUACAGUAUAAGAAAAUUCAUUUUCUUGAAUCCUCACCAGAACUUGGUGUUGUCAAUCAUGUUAACUCUUGCCUAUGUUAUAGGUGGAAACUGAUGUACUGUAUAUCAUGGUUUUUAGAGUUGUAGUUCCCUUAUUAAAAUUGGAUUGAACAUCUUCUCAUACAUUCACCAGCCAUCUGCAUUUCUUCUCAUGGGAAUUCCCUGUUCAUUUCCUUUACUUGUUUUUCUGUUUAGUCUCACUAAAAGAGAGAGAAAUACAAAUUGAAACAGUAAGGUAUUUUUAAAACAAUGAAGUUAAGGAAAAUGACCAAGACCCAUAAUGCUUGUGAAGAUUAUCAUUUUAAGUGGAGAAAAUCAACCCUAUAAUUAUAAAUGUUAAUUUGUAUUUUCUUUCUACAUAUUUUUAAUUAAAACACAACAUCUGAACCAUAUGAAACCAUUCUAGUUGUUUCACACCAAAGUUAAUUUUUCAUAAUAGUAAAUACAAUCUUGUGUAUCAUUUAAUUGGCUGAGCCUUCUUUUCCUCCAUACAUUUGUUAUUGACAUUAUCCCUUAAAAAUUUUAACCUCCCCCAGAUAGGUAUGGUGGCACAUGUCUGAAUCCCAAUGAUUCUGGAGGUUGAGGCAGGAGGAUCUCAAGACCAGCCUCAGCAACUUAGUGAGAUCUUGUCCCCCAAAAUAAAAAGGAAUGGGGAUGAAGCUCAGUGGUAACAUGUCCCUGGUCUCAACCUCCAGUGCAUACUCCCCACCAAGAAAGGGAUGGGGGAUGUUGCUCAGGGAUUCAAACCCAAGUACAAAAAGAGAGAGAGAGAGAGAGAGAGAGAGAGAGAGAGAGAGAGAGAGAGAGAGAGAAAGAAAUUCUAACUUAAAAUAUUUAUUUCUCAAUUAACUGUCAUAUUG